ensembl:lincRNA Gm37294 predicted gene, 37294
UCCUUCAGGACGCCAGAGCCAACUUUGCUCACAGACGCACCAGUGUUCCCAGAGACGUGGGGUGUAAACUCCCAACCCUGGCCUAAGGAAAAAAUAACAGCCCCGUGCUGUGGAAUAAAGUCACCUUCCAGGAAAAGGGCUGGGGUGUCUAAAGGGAGAGCAAUCCCCGGUGCCUCGUGACAAGGUCAAUGGCAGUGUUGGCCAGGACGGAUUCAUCUGUGCAAGCCAUCUGUGGGAGACAGUUUCCCAUUAGGUCAUACACCCUGAGUGCAGAAAUCAGAAUAGUGUUGUGCGGCAACAACAAAAGGGGGUGGCUUUUUCAGUGUGGGAAAUAUUUAACAGAGAAUAUUACGUUAUUAUCACCUAAAACAGGUGCAUUCUUGCCUGCAAUGCUCUAUGAGGCUCGGGCAUGUCCAGCCACUUACCACUGCGACACAAUAAUGCCGUCUACAACAUUUGCACAGAGACUGAAAUAAAAACACCUACACCUCUCA